CAGGCCACCAGAUACCAGCUUCAUCUGGGCAAAGAGCUCAGCAGGGGACGGUGGAUCAGCAGGUUGUAGGACACGGAGUGAGAAAAUUGACCUAUAGUCCCACCUGCAGUGGAAACUGUUACUACAGCUGGUUCAGACUACGCUGGAUCUCAGACUACCGGUACACAGAUGGAGGUUACUGGCAGAUUUCAACUUACAUGGGAUGUUCAGCUACUGCCACAGUUUGGAUCGAAUCCACCAGUUCCUCUGAUCAGGAUAGAUACUCCUGUAAUAUCAAUAACUACAUCCGGCCUCCUUCAUACUGUGAACUGGGUGAGAAGCAGUGGGGAGUGACUUACACUCCUGAUAGUGUGUGUGCUCUGGAAGGUUCAUCAGUUGAUCUCUCCUGCUCUUAUAAACACCCUGGAGGACUCAC